GCCAGCAGCCAUAUCACCCUGCAACUCACAACUGGCAACCCACUGAAGGUGUGAGCCUGGUCAGUACCUGGAUGGGAGACCUCCUGGGAAAAACUAAGGUUGCUGCUGGAA
rnacentral:rRNA from 1 species